rnacentral:lncRNA from 1 species
GUGCGCGGCAACUCGGGCCUCUUUUUUGUCCCCCUUUUUUCCGCGCGCUCGCGGCGUAAAAAAAGCGGAUUCCGUCGGCCAAAAGCGGCCCGGUUGCCGUCAUCGGCACGGCCGCGGGCCGAUAGAGGCACCCGCGCACUGAAAGACAGACCGAGCACAAGCGACGGACAAGGCGCCCAUAAGAAUCAGGUCUUUUUUUGGGACGAUAGGGACCAGAGGCGGACAGGUUGAUCCGCAAGAGGGACCUAAACCGCGCAGCCAUCGCGCUCUAGACGAUAGCCGUCGUCGCAACCCACUUUUGAGCCUACUUCUUUUCCUGCGACAAGAAUGCAUGACGCUGCCGACGAAAAAGAAAGGACCCCCUGGCCAAGAUCUCGCUUCCUCCUCGUCUCUUCAUUGUUCGAUGCGCACGCACUAGCGCUUGCUAACGGCUAAAACUCUUUUAUAAACGACUCAAAUGGCGAAUCAAACAUGUGCGAUUUACGAAAAUUUAUUGGCUCGUCUGUGGCCGAGUUUCAGCCGUUA